rnacentral:rRNA from 1 species
GACGAACGCUGGCGGCGUGCUUAACACAUGCAAGUCGAACGGAAAGGCCCUGCUUGCAGGGUGCUCGAGUGGCGAACGGGUGAGUAACACGUGGGUGAUCUGCCCCUUACUUUGGGAUAAGCCUGGGAAACUGGGUCUAAUACUGGAUAGGACCAUGCUGUAGGUGGUGUGGUGGAAAGAUUAGUUUCGGUAAGGGAUGAGCUCGCGGCCUAUCAGCUUGUUGGUGGGGUAAUGGCCUACCAAGGCGUCGACGGGUAGCCGGCCUGAGAGGGUGGACGGCCACAUUGGGACUGAGAUACGGCCCAGACUCCUACGGGAGGCAGCAGUGGGGAAUAUUGCACAAUGGGCGCAAGCCUGAUGCAGCGACGCCGCGUGGGGGAUGACGGCCUUCGGGUUGUAAACUCCUUUCAGCCAUGACGAAGCCCUUGUGGUGACGGUAGUGGUAGAAGAAGCACCGGCUAACUACGU